rnacentral:lncRNA from 1 species
GGGAGAUAGAAUGUCAUCGGAAUGCCCAUAGACAUCUAAAGCAGUGCAGUUAUUUGGAGGAAAUUAAUGUUUCUGAAAUUGUUGGAUCAUAAAGUUCAAGGGGCAAAAUAUUAGAACUUGAAGCUGGAACAAUAAGCAAGGGUCAAAUGAUGGAGAUCCAGUUAGACCAUGUUGAAGACCUCAGAUUGUGUCCUUUCAGUGAUGGGAACAUUGAAACAUUUCAUCUCUCUGUUGCCCUUUCUUUGCAAAUGGGACAGACUCAGGGCAUUCAGAAUAGAAUGUUCUGCUGAGUUGUUGUGAAAACUACAAUGUAAGGAGAAACAUGAAAAAUGCUGCAUAUUCCAUGAAACAAAGAAGCCAAGAUUGAAAUCAAAUCGCCAACAAACCCCCAAUCAAUUGUGGCAUCCUUAGCUUGGCCGUUGAACAGCUAAGUAGAGGGAAUCACUCCAGGGGUGUUUUUUUUUUCUUGAGAUUUUGAAAGAGUAGAGAUGGACAUCAGAAAUAUUUGACCCAGUCUUUUUUCAAAGUGCUUUGCUGUGCUGAAACUUUUGUGUGGAUGAAAUUCACCUGAGAUGCUUGUUUAACUGCACCUUCUCGAGCCCUACCUCUAGACAGGCUGAUUUAGCAGAUUUUGGAGUGGGAUCCAGAGUUCUGCUUUUUAAAGAAGAUCCUCAAGAGGCUGGGAGCGGUGGCUCAUGCCUGUAAUCCCAGCACUUUGGGAGGCCGAGGCGGGCGGAUCAUGAGG